rnacentral:rRNA from 1 species
UACAGGUGGUGCAAACGUUGUCCGGAUUUACUGGGCGUAAAGAGCGCGCAGGCGGUCAGAUAAGUCGAAUGUGAAAGCCCCCGGCUCAACUGGGGAGGGUCAUUCGAUACUGUUCGACUCGAAGGCAGGAGAGGGAAGUGGAAUUCCCGGUGUAGUGGUGAAAUGCGUAGAUAUCGGGAGGAACACCAGUGGCGAAGGCGACUUCCUGGCCUGUUCUUGACGCUGAGGCGCGAAAGCUAGGGGAGCAAACGGG